rnacentral:rRNA from 1 species
GACGAACGCUGGCGGCGUGCUUAACACAUGCAAGUCGAACGAGUGGCGAACGGGUGAGUAAUACGUGAGUAACCUGCCCUCUUUUUGGGAUAAGCCUUGGAAACGGGGUCUAAUACCGAAUAAAGGGGGAUGGGCUCGCGGCCUAUCAGCUGGUUGGUGGGGUGAUGGCCUACCAAGGCGGUGACGGGUAGCCGGCCUGAGAGGGUGACCGGCCAGAUGGGGACUGAGAUACGGCCCAAACUCCUACGGGAGGCAGCAGUGAGGAAUAUUGGUCAAUGGAGGAAACUCUGAACCAGCCAAGUCGCGUGAAGGAAGAAGUCCUAAGGAGUGUAAACUUCUUUAGCGAGUGAGUAAGUAGCUCGAGAAUAAGUAGCGGCUAACUCCGUGCCAGCAGCCGCGGUAAUUC